rnacentral:rRNA from 1 species
AGAGUUUGAUCCUGGCUCAGGACGAACGCUGGCGGCGUGCUUAACACAUGCAAGUCGAGCGAGGCCCUCCUUCGGGGGGUGCCCUAGCGGCGAACGGGUGAGUAACACGUGGGCAACCUGCCCUCAGCUCUGGGAUAACUCCAAGAAAUUGGUGCUAAUACCGGAUGUGACCGCUGACCGCAUGGUCUGGUGGUGGAAAGAUUCAUCGGCUGAGGAUGGGCCCGCGGCCUAUCAGCUUGUUGGUGGGGUCACGGCCCACCAAGGCGACGACGGGUAGCCGGCCUGAGAGGGUGACCGGCCACACUGGGACUGAGACACGGCCCAGACUCCUACGGGAGGCAGCAGUGGGGAAUAUUGCGCAAUGGGCGAAAGCCUGACGCAGCGACGCCGCGUGAGGGAUGACGGCCUUCGGGUUGUAAACCUCUUUCAGUAGGGACGAAGCGCAAGUGACGGUACCUACAGAAGAAGCACCGGCCAACUACGUGCCAGCAGCCGCGGUAAUACGUAGGGUGCAAGCGUUGUCCGGAAUUAUUGGGCGUAAAGAGCUCGUAGGCGGUCUGUCACGUCGGCUGUGAAAACCCGAGGCUCAACCUCGGGCCUGCAGUCGAUACGGGCAAACUAGAGUACUGCAGGGGAGACUGGAAUUCCUGGUGUAGCGGUGAAAUGCGCAGAUAUCAGGAGGAACACCGGUGGCGAAGGCGGGUCUCUGGGCAGUAACUGACGCUGAGGAGCGAAAGCGUGGGGAGCGAACAGGAUUAGAUACCCUCGUAGUCC